rnacentral:misc_RNA from 1 species
UUUCUUCUCUAUUACACUAUAUCAUUUUAUGCUGGUAGUUUACCAUAUUGGUCAUUUCAUAUAUGCAGUUAUUUGUAAUGCAUUUAUCUUACUUUGGAUUGAGGGUUCGGGCUAGAAUUUAAUUUGGUGGCUUCUGGCCUGUAACUUAUCCUGUUAUGUUUAACUUUGAAAUGCUUUCAAACUAUUUGGCUUGUGAGCUAUAAAUUAAUCGCCUUUUUUUGUUCUGGGUCUGAUUACUGAGCCGGGAGGGAAAAUAAAGAAAGAAUCUCAGCACCGAUUAAACUCAUUUUUACUACUGCUUCCGUUGGUACAGCCAGAGAGGAACUCAAACAUUGUCUCCCGAUCUAUUAUUUCAAGAUGGAAUUGAAUUGCUAGGACGAUUUGAAUGAUUACGUUCAUCAUUCAAAUGGUAAAAUUCCAUUGCAAAAUGCAGAGCCUAAUUCUAGAAUGCUCUACUUAAUAUUUUCCAUCAACUGUUGUAUUUGAAAUUUUAGAUUUGAUUAAAAAUAAGGAGUAACCACCACCCUCUUGUUAGAGUUUAAAUGUGAGGUGUGAGAAAGUGGUAAAAAAUUGUGGAAUAAAACUGUUGUGUUGAUAAAG